UCUGCCCACUGAUAUAAUAUUAAAGGGCUGCAGUAUUUUGACUGUACAAAGGUAGCAUAAUCAUUAGUCUUUUAAUUGAAGACUUGUAUGAAUGAUUGGAUGAAAUAUAAACUGUCUCUAAUAUUAUUAGUUAGAAUUUAAUUUUUUUAUUAAAAAGUAAAAAUAAAUUUAAAAGACGAGAACACCCUAUAGAGUUUUAUAAUUAAUUUAAUUGAAAUUAUUUAUAAAGAUAAUUUUAAAUUAAUAAAUUAAAAUUAAGUUAAUUAUUUUGUUGGGGUGAUAAAAAAAUAAAAAUAACUUUUUUUAAUAUAUUUAUAUAUAUAUAUAUAUAUAUAUAUAUAUUGUAAACAAAAAUAAAUGAUUUUUUGAUCCAGAAUUUUUGAUUAUAAGAAAAAAUUACCUUAGGGAUAACAGCGUAAUUUUUUUUUUUAGUUCAAAUAAGAAAAAGAGUUUGCGACCUCGAUGUUGGAUUAAGGAAAAAUUUAAAUGCAAAAGUUUAAAAUUUUG
rnacentral:rRNA from 1 species